GACGAACGCUGGCGGCGUGCUUAACACAUGCAAGUCGAACGAUGAAGCCGGAGCUUGCUCUGGUGAAUUAGUGGCGAACGGGUGAGUAACACGUGAGUAACCUGCCCUUGACUCUGGGAUAACUGCUAGAAAUGGUAGCUAAUACCGGAUACGACCCUCGGAGGCAUCUCCAGGGGGUGGAAAGAAUUUCGGUCAAGGAUGGACUCGCGGCCUAUCAGCUAGUUGGCGAGGUAAUGGCUCACCAAGGCGACGACGGGUAGCCGGCCUGAGAGGGUGACCGGCCACACUGGGACUGAGACACGGCCCAGACUCCUACGGGAGGCAGCAGUGGGGAAUAUUGCACAAUGGGCGCAAGCCUGAUGCAGCAACGCCGCGUGAGGGAUGACGGCCUUCGGGUUGUAAACCUCUUUUGGUAGGGAAGAAGCGAAAGUGACGGUACCUGCAGAAAAAGCACCGGCUAACUACGUGCCAGCCGCCGCCGUAA
rnacentral:rRNA from 1 species